rnacentral:rRNA from 1 species
UGACCGCUGGCGGUAGGCCUAACACAUGCACGUCGAACGGCAGCACGGUAAGAGCUUGCUCUUACGGGUGGCGAGUGGCGGACGGGUGAGGAAUACAUCGGAAUCUACUUUUUCGUGGGGGAUAACGUAGGGAAACUUACGCUAAUACCGCAUACGACCUACGGGUGAAAGCAGGGGAUCUUCGGACCUUGCGCGAUUGAAUGAGCCGAUGUCGGAUUAGCUAGUUGGCGGGGUAAAGGCCCACCAAGGCGACGAUCCGUAGCUGGUCUGAGAGGAUGAUCAGCCACACUGGAACUGAGACACGGUCCAGACUCCUACGGGAGGCAGCAGUGGGGAAUAUUGGACAAUGGGCGCAAGCCUGAUCCAGCCAUACCGCGUGGGUGAAGAAGGCCUUCGGGUUGUAAAGCCCUUUUGUUGGGAAAGAAAAGCAGCAGGUUAAUACCCCGCUGUUCUGACGGUACCCAAAGAAUAAGCACCGGCUAACUUCGUG